rnacentral:lncRNA from 10 species
AGAUGGAUAGAUGAUCUCUAAGGUUCUUUUCAGCUCUCCAAUUCUGCGAUACUUUUUGCUCAUGAAACAGAAAAAUGCUUAAGGAUAAAGGAAAGUGCUGAUUUGUUUUCUACUCUAGCACCCUCACUAUCAGGUAGCCAGUUGCCCCCUUUCUUUACGUCAAACUGCCAGUAUGUGUUGUGUGGAAAUUACUACAUUUGGCUUCUACAGUAGGACAAAUACCUAAUGCAUGCAGGGCUUAAAACCUAGAUGACAGGUUGAUGGGUGCAGUAAACCACCAGGGCACAUAGUAUACCUAUGUAACAAACUUGCACAUUCUGCACAUGUAUCCCAGAACUUAAAGUAAAAUAAAAUAAAAAAUUAUUACUUUGUAGUAAACUGAAAUAUUUUUAAUAUAUUUUGUAGGAAAUUAAAAUGUUGAUGUAGAUUUCAAAUUUGCACACUAAUUCAGAUCAGUCUAGUAGUAAUAGAUGAUAUUUUAAAAUACAUGAACUCCAGUAAUCAUUAUAAACUUCCUUUAUUAAGAAAGGGACUCAAAAGGCUUCAUGAAGAUGAGGGCCCCAUUUUCAUUUCCAAGGGACAAACUAAUCUUUGAUAUAUGAUAUUUGAGUUCAGAAUUGCUUUUGGCAAACAUAAUUGUUACUGCUUAAACAAGUAGUUCUUUUCUAGUAAUUAGAAUUUUUUUUUCAUUUUAAUGGGUAGUCAUAAAUAUUAACCACCAGCAGUGCAGGAAUAAUUUAAAUUGUCAGACAUCACUCUGUGAACACGUGAAAUAAUUUACAUUUAUUUAGAACCUUUUAUCCUAAAGUGCUCUACACAUAUUUCUUUAUAAUCUGAUUGCAAGCUAUAAAUAGGGCUAUCCCACCUGAAAUAGGGCAGGAACCAAAGUAAUUAAAGGUUACAACUUCACAAGAAGUAGGGAAAGAUGGAAAUGUAGUAUUUUUUACAUUAUUUCUAUGUGCUCUAUGCCUGUAGGAUUGGAGAAUCCAUGUUGACCAAAUGCACCAGCACAGAAGUGGAAUUGAAUCUGCUCUAAAGGAGACCAAGGUAUAUGAAUUACUUUACGUGAAUCAAUGUACAUUUACUCAUCUGUGGAACACCUGUUAUAAGAGAACAUGAAAGAAUAAAAAGACACAAUUUUUGCCUUUAAGGAACUUACUAAUUGAAUGUACCGUGUUACAUUUCAACUGACCUUACAUUUAAACCAACUAAAGAAAGCUAACUUACAUAUUAAUAAAAGCUAUAUAUAUGUAUAUAUAUAAGAUAUAUAUGUAUAAUAUAUAGAUAAUACAUAUAUUAGAGAGAAACAUUUCAUCAUCCUUUCCUCUCUGAAUCUUAAAGGAGGAAAGAACACCAGACCAGCAAGGUCUAGAACUUACAGCCUCCGCAGGCUUGCUGUCCUGCCAGAAACAAGGACUUUGGAGAAUGUCACAAAGAAGCAAAGCUAGACUGAAAAGUUAUGUGUCCCAGGCUAGAGCUAUAGGCUUAGGGAUCUAUUUCCAACUGGAAUAUUUCAGUCACCUUUGAAUCGUGCUAUAGGAAACUCACGUUAUUCCCUUACUUUGAUUGUGAAUGUUAUAUAAUGCUAAUUAUAGUCACAUAAAUUUUAUGGUAUGUAUAAUGACAAAUGAAUUGACUAACACUGCCAGGUGCAUUUUUAUUCUAAAACUCUUCUAAGUGUGGUUAAAAUAUUUCUCAUCACAGAUAUUUUGUGCUAUUGAAAAUUUCAAGCUGUCUUCUUUUGCACAUGUAGUUGAUUAUUUGUAGAAUGGAUUGAGAUGUAACCCAUU